AUCGCCGUCUUCAAAUCCGCCGAU
rnacentral:snRNA from 1 species